UGGAACGUUGGUAUUGCUCACUGUGGUUUCCUUGAUGUCAAACUUUUGGAUAAAGCAGAGCAUUUCUAGCCAUACCCUUAAGGUUUAGUCAGUACUAUGGCUGAGAAGAAGAAUAAAACAGAAAACAAGGAAAAAACAAGGAAGGAUGGAAUUCAAUGACACAAAUUUCAUGUGAAAGAACCUUGAGUUGAUUUGUUGUGCUUUGUUUAUAUGCUUCUCGGUUAUAAGCAAAAGCUGAUGUAAGAUCAUCUUUAAUGAUCCUUGUUUGUAAUUAAAAUUUUAGUCUUC